rnacentral:rRNA from 1 species
UAGGGAAUUUUCGGCAAUGGGCGAAAGCCUGACCGAGCAACGCCGCGUGAGGGAGGAAGUCCUUCGGGAUGUAAACCUCUGUUAUAAAGGAAGAACGGUAUCUGCAGGGAAUGGCAGAUAAGUGACGGUACUUUAUGAGGAAGCCACGGCUAACUACGUGCC